rnacentral:rRNA from 1 species
UUAAGCGACUAAGCGUACACGGUGGAUGCCCUGGCAGUCAGAGGCGAUGAAGGACGUGCUAAUCUGCGAAAAGCGUCGGUAAGGUGAUAUGAACCGUUAUAACCGGCGAUGUCCGAAUGGGGAAACCCAGUGCAAUUCGUUGCACUAUCGUUAACUGAAUACAUAGGUUAACGAGGCGAACCGGGGGAACUGAAACAUCUAAGUACCCCGAGGAAAAGAAAUCAACCGAGAUUCCCCCAGUAGCGGCGAGCGAACGGGGAGCAGCCCAGAGUCUGAAUCAGCUUGUGUGUUAGUGGAACGGUCUGGAAAGUCCGACGGUACAGGGUGAUAGUCCCGUACACCAAAAUGCACAGGUUGUGAACUCGAAGAGUAGGGCGGGACACGUGGUAUCCUGUCUGAAUAUGGGGGGACCAUCCUCCAAGGCUAAAUACUCCUGACUGACCGAUAGUGAACCAGUACCGUGAGGGAAAGGCGAAAAGAACCCCGGCGAGGGGAGUGAAAAAGAACCUGAAACCGUGUACGUACAAGCAGUGGGAGCACCUUCGGGUGUGACUGCGUACCUUUUGUAUAAUGGGUCAGCGACUUAUAUUCUGUAGCAAGGUUAACCGUAUAGGGGAGCCGCAGGGAAACCGAGUCUUAACUGGGCGUUAAGUUGCAGGGUAUAGACCCGAAACCCGGUGAUCUAGCCAUGGGCAGGUUGAAGGUUGGGUAACACUAACUGGAGGACCGAACCGACUAAUGUUGAAAAAUUAGCGGAUGACUUGUGGCUGGGGGUGAAAGGCCAAUCAAACCGGGAGAUAGCUGGUUCUCCCCGAAAGCUAUUUAGGUAGCGCCUCGUGAAUUCAUCUUCGGGGGUAGAGCACUGUUUCGGCUAGGGGGUCAUCCCGACUUACCAACCCGAUGCAAACUACGAAUACCGAAGAAUGUUAUCACGGGAGACACACGGCGGGUGCUAACGUCCGUCGUGAAGAGGGAAACAACCCAGACCGCCAGCUAAGGUCCCAAAGUCAUGGUUAAGUGGGAAACGAUGUGGGAAGGCACAGACAGCCAGGAUGUUGGCUUAGAAGCAGCCAUCAUUUAAAGAAAGCGUAAUAGCUCACUGGUCGAGUCGGCCUGCGCGGAAGAUGUAACGGGGCUAAACCAUGCACCGAAGCUGCGGCAGCGACACUAUGUGUUGUUGGGUAGGGGAGCGUUCUGUAAGCCUGCGAAGGUGUGCUGUGAGGCAUGCUGGAGGUAUCAGAAGUGCGAAUGCUGACAUAAGUAACGAUAAAGCGGGUGAAAAGCCCGCUCGCCGGAAGACCAAGGGUUCCUGUCCAACGUUAAUCGGGGCAGGGUGAGUCGACCCCUAAGGCGAGGCCGAAAGGCGUAGUCGAUGGGAAACAGGUUAAUAUUCCUGUACUUGGUGUUACUGCGAAGGGGGGACGGAGAAGGCUAUGUUAGCCGGGCGACGGUUGUCCCGGUUUAAGCAUGUAGGCUGAUUGUCCAGGCAAAUCCGGAUAAUCAAGGCUGAGGUGUGAUGACGAGGCACUACGGUGCUGAAGUAACAAAUGCCCUGCUUCCAGGAAAAGCCUCUAAGCAUCAGGUAACAUUAAAUCGUACCCCAAACCGACACAGGUGGUCAGGUAGAGAAUACCAAGGCGCUUGAGAGAACUCGGGUGAAGGAACUAGGCAAAAUGGUGCCGUAACUUCGGGAGAAGGCACGCUGGUGUGUAGGUGAAGUCCCUGCGGAUGGAGCUGAGACCAGUCGAAGAUACCAGCUGGCUGCAACUGUUUAUUAAAAACACAGCACUGUGCAAACACGAAAGUGGACGUAUACGGUGUGACGCCUGCCCGGUGCCGGAAGGUUAAUUGAUGGGGUUAUCCGUAAGGAGAAGCUCUUGAUCGAAGCCCCGGUAAACGGCGGCCGUAACUAUAACGGUCCUAAGGUAGCGAAAUUCCUUGUCGGGUAAGUUCCGACCUGCACGAAUGGCGUAAUGAUGGCCAGGCUGUCUCCACCCGAGACUCAGUGAAAUUGAACUCGCUGUGAAGAUGCAGUGUACCCGCGGCAAGACGGAAAGACCCCGUGAACCUUUACUAUAGCUUGACACUGAACAUUGAGCCUUGAUGUGUAGGAUAGGUGGGAGGCUUUGAAGCGUGGACGCCAGUCUGCGUGGAGCCAACCUUGAAAUACCACCCUUUAAUGUUUGAUGUUCUAACGUUGGCCCCUGACCGGGGUUGCGGACAGUGUCUGGUGGGUAGUUUGACUGGGGCGGUCUCCUCCCAAAGCGUAACGGAGGAGCACGAAGGUUAGCUAAUCCUGGUCGGACAUCAGGAGGUUAGUGCAAUGGCAUAAGCUAGCUUGACUGCGAGCGUGACGGCGCGAGCAGGUGCGAAAGCAGGUCAUAGUGAUCCGGUGGUUCUGAAUGGAAGGGCCAUCGCUCAACGGAUAAAAGGUACUCCGGGGAUAACAGGCUGAUACCGCCCAAGAGUUCAUAUCGACGGCGGUGUUUGGCACCUCGAUGUCGGCUCAUCACAUCCUGGGGCUGAAGUAGGUCCCAAGGGUAUGGCUGUUCGCCAUUUAAAGUGGUACGCGAGCUGGGUUUAGAACGUCGUGAGACAGUUCGGUCCCUAUCUGCCGUGGGCGCUGGAGAAUUGAGGGGGGCUGCUCCUAGUACGAGAGGACCGGAGUGGACGCAUCACUGGUGUUCGGGUUGUCAUGCCAAUGGCACUGCCCGGUAGCUAAAUGCGGAAGAGAUAAGUGCUGAAAGCAUCUAAGCACGAAACUUGCCCCGAGAUGAGUUCUCCCUGAGACUUUAAGUCUCCUGAAGGAACGUU